AUUGAACGCUGGCGGCAUGCUUUACACAUGCAAGUCGAACGGUAACAGGCCUUCGGGUGCUGACGAGUGGCGAACGGGUGUGUAAUGCAUCGGAACGUACCCAGAGGUGGGGGAUAACGCAGCGAAAGCUGUGCUAAUACCGCAUGUGAUCUGAGGAUGAAAGCGGGGGACCGAGCAGCAAUGUUUGGCCUCGCGCCUUUGGAGCGGCCGAUGUCGGAUUAGCUAGUUGGUUGGGUAAAGGCCUACCAAGGCGACGAUCCGUAGCUGGUCUGAGAGGACGAUCAGCCACACUGGGACUGAGACACGGCCCAGACUCCUACGGGAGGCAGCAGUGGGGAAUGUUGGACAAUGGGCGCAAGCCUGAUCCAGCAAUGCCGCGUGCGGGAAGAAGGUCUUCGGGUUUUAAAACGCGUUUGGCAGGAACGAAACGGUGUCCGCUAAUACCGGGCGCUAAUGACGGUACCUGCAGAAUAAGCACCGGCUAACUACGUG
rnacentral:rRNA from 1 species